GUCCACGCUGUAAACGAUGGAUGCUAGUUGUCGCGGGUAACCAACCCUGCGGUGACGAAGCUAACGCGAUAAGCAUCCCGCCUGGGGAUUACGGCCGCAAGGCUAAAACUCAAAGGAAUUGACGGGGGCCCGCACAAGCGGUGGAGUAUGUGGUUUAAUUCGACGCAACGCGCAGAACCUUACCCAGACUUGACAUCCUCGGAACCUGGCCGAAAAGCUGGGGUGCUCGCAAGAGAACCGGGAGACAGGUGCUGCAUGGCUGUCGU
rnacentral:rRNA from 1 species